UGCGGUAGGCUUCACAGUACACACUGACUGUGUUCCACUUUAUAUGCUAAGCAGAGGAAAAGGGGUAGGCGGGGCUUAGCGUUGUGGGGGCGGGGCUUCGCGGUGUUGAGGCGGGGCUUAGCGUUGUGGAGGCGGGGUGUGGCGGUGGUCUUGCCGAGCGGGAGGGACAGCAGGUUUGUUUCUACACUGGUUAUGAAAAGCAGAAGAAGGGAGGAGGCAGUACAUCCAAUGGGCAACAGCUCCCAUGAAGGUGAAGAUUCCCCCAGGUACAGGAUACUGAUGUAGGGUCAGCUUCCCCUUCCCACAUUCCUAGUAUUAACCAUAUGUUUGGGGAAAUGUUAAACUGACCCAGGGUCAGCGUCUAAUGCCAACGUCACUCUCCUCCAACUCCAGGGCAACAGCCAUUCCUCGUUCAACCCUUGAUGCCCUCGUCGUCAUGAACUCAUCUUGACCAAUCAAAGCACGUCAACCAAUUUCCACAUUUCAUCUAUUAAUAUCACGUUGCAUUUUUGUAGGUGCCCCUAAAAUUGUUGAUUAUAACUAAAUCCAUAAAAAGACAGUGAUUGACGCGUCAUGGAUUAUCAAAAGACGACCUAAAUCCAUGACAUUGUCACAUUUUCCAUCUUUCCCAGAAUCAGAAUAAACCUCAAAAACGACAUGUAAACAAGUUGAUCUGUGACAUGAGGUUUGGGGUCAAAACAGACAGGAUGAACUGACAUGAGGUUUGGGGUUGGUAGUUAACAGACAGGAUGAACUGACAUGAGGUUUGUAGUUAACAGACAGGAUGAACUGACAUGAGGUUGGUAGUUAACAGACAGGAUGAACUGACAUGAGGUUUGUAGUUAACAGACAGGAUGAACUGACGUGAGGUUUGGGGUUGGUAGUUAACAGACAGGAUGAACUGACAUGAGGUUGGUAGUUAACAGACAGGAUGAACUGAGAUGAGGUUGGU
ensembl:lncRNA